AGGGGCCGUUUUCUUUUGCUUCGUUUUCGUGGAGCCUCGUGUGCGUUCAAGAGCGCGCUGCUGCAACAUGUGUGGACAAUAUUGGAGACAGAUGCACUUGUUCCCACACUAAAAGUGUACAGCGAAGGAGAAAACUUUUUGAUGUUGCUUUUAUUUUGUCAAUACGGCGUCCAUCAGCUGCUGUGACUGAGAGUUAAUGAGGGCUGUAACAUUUUGGAGGCACCGCUGGGAUCGGGUGAGACGAGGUUCGACUUCUGCCAGCGACAGACGUCCCCAGCUCUCAUUCAGUCCCGUUCAACUUACCCAGGGAGGCAGCAUCCAGUGACUGAAACGGAGACGGUUGGAGUGUCUACAACACAGCACAAGCAAUCUGAGCCAAAACAUGAGCAGCUGGCAGCCAAUCCAGAGGACACAUCUUUAAACAAUGUGAUGCAGCUGAGAUAGGCUCCAGCACCCCCUGCCACCCCAAAAAGGGACAAGAGGUAGAAAAUGGAUGGAUGGAUGUGGGUUACACUGGUAUUGCACCAUCCAGUGGACACAUUUAUAACAGCAGUUUAAAAAAAAAACAUUUGCAGCUUAUUUUUAUACUAAACUUAUUUUGCCGGGCCCUUAAACCUGUUUGUGGGCCCGUAUGUUUGACACCCUUGGGUUACAUGAUCAAAAGGCAUCUAUUUUAUGACUUU